GACGUCGUGGAGGACCGAACCCACUUAGGUUGAAAACUGAGGGGAUGAGCUGUGGAUAGGGGUGAAAGGCCAAUCAAACUUCGUGAUAGCUGGUUCUCUCCGAAAUGCAUUUAGGUGCAGCGUUGCGUGUUUCUUGCCGGAGGUAGAGCUACUGGAUGGCCGAUGGGGCCCAAAAGCUUACUGACGUCAGCCAAACUCCGAAUGCCGGUAAGUGAGAGCGCAGCAGUGAGACGGUGGGGGAUAAGCUUCAUCGUCGAGAGGGAAACAACCCAGACUACCAACUAAGGUCCCUAAGCGUGUGCUAAGUGGGAAAGGAUGUGGAGUUGCAUAGACAACCAGGAGGUUGGCUUAGAAGCAGCCACCCUUGAAAGAGUGCGUAAU
rnacentral:rRNA from 1 species